GCCCAGCCAUGUGCAAAUAAAAAGCUCCUGCGCUGAAGGAGUUUUCUCACAGUCACAAUGUGCAAAAAGCCUGUGUGGAUGCCCCAUCAAGUAACUAGCCUUUCAGGAGAUUUAAGGGUUUGCCAUUUAAAUAACCCUUUCCCUAGGUUGUCUCUUGGUGGAUGUUUGCAGUUAAAAUGACCCCAGAUCCAGCAUGGUGGUCGUGUUCCCAGCUCUUGUGACAUCAGCAAUUUCAGAAGUCAAGCCUGAAGGCUACACAAACCCCAUCAGAGAGAGGAUGAGCCUCUGAGGUGAGUGAGACGCUUUGGUGUAACAAGCACUAGUGGAACGACACACUGGAAGGCAGCAGCGUCAGCAAAGAGACAAGGUGACAGAUGUGAACUGGAGGAAGGCUGAUCCCUCAGGCUCACUCAGCACACUGGGAUUAUCCCUGCAGGUCCACUGCUGUCGCUGAGAAACGCUGAGAGUAGAGCUGUCAACUAGGAAGAGGAGUGGGGGAAAAAAUCCCUGUUGGAAUCAAUGCUGAAUUGCAGAGGUGCAAACUGGGAUGGAAAACCUAUGGCUCCGGGGAGCCAUCACUGAGAACUGAGAGGUGGAAUGCCUUGGGGCAGGAAAGGAAUGUUCCAGAGGCCAGAGCAAAGCCUACAAGAAUGACAAUCUGAGGACAACCAUGAGAGCCAGGAACAGGCCAUCAAACACAGCUUUAGAGGUCAUAUUCCUUUUGGCACCAGAAAGAACAAUGGCCAUAAGUGAUUUGCUUUGCAUUUAUGGCUUUUACCUUGCAUGCAACUCGUAUCACUUACAAACUCCCACAGAGAGUCUCUGCCCCCCUGAGAUGUUGUUACAAACCACGCACAAGCAGAAGUCUGAAUGAUGAGGGCAGGUACCUUUUAAGGCCUUCCGUUUCCCUAUUUUUCCCCAUUUCUCUCCUACUGCCCCUGCCUGUCUGCAGAGCCCUGGAAACGCGAUAGCCCAGGCUCCACCCUGCUGGUGGAAAGUUCAUGGAAACCAUCAAUCAGAACCAGUUGCCUUUAGCAACCAACAACAAAUCUGCCCGAGUUCACUGCGGGGAUGGAGAGUGCGUGGUUGUCGCUGUGCUGAUGUUCGGCUGAGGAUUCCUGGCAUCAGGAAAACUCAACCUGUAGGAGCUUUCAGAGAGAAACUGUCUGAAAGCUACAGGAACACCUGAAGUCAGAGGAACUGCUACUUACCAGAACAGGUUCUACUACCUGGGUGUCUGGUCUAUCAUUUGUGAAUGUAACCUCACAGAUGAAGCCAUGACACAGCAGAAGAGAAAACAUCUGAACAGUUUGUCUCCAUGGACGAAAUGUUAACCCACUUUGCAGGCAGGUAGGAGCUUGAAGACUGAUGUAGCAGCAUAAAAGAGUCUCCCUGCAUAGGAUAAUUCUUUUGGAAGCAAAGCAGCCCAAGAGUCAACUCAUCCACCAGUAAUGUUGUCAUUUUUUGUCACUUGGAGAAAAUAUAUCACAAUGAUUACCAGUGUGAGUGUCUACUGUUUAUUAAAAAUAAAUUCCAUUCUUUCUGGUCUAUUCAAGAA